GGCUCAGAUGAAACGCUGGCGGAAUGCCUUACACAUGCAAGUCGAACGGCAGCACGGGAGCAAUCCUGGUGGCGAGUGGCGAACGGGUGAGUAAUACAUCGGAACGUGCCCAAUCGUGGGGGAUAACGUAGCGAAAGCUACGCUAAUACCGCAUACGAUCUACGGAUGAAAGCAGGGGAUCGCAAGACCUUGCGCGAAUGGAGCGGCCGAUGGCAGAUUAGGUAGUUGGUGGGGUAAAGGCUCACCAAGCCUUCGAUCUGUAGCUGGUCUGAGAGGACGACCAGCCACACUGGGACUGAGACACGGCCCAGACUCCUACGGGAGGCAGCAGUGGGGAAUUUUGGACAAUGGGCGCAAGCCUGAUCCAGCCAUUCCGCGUGCAGGAUGAAGGCCUUCGGGUUGUAAACUGCUUUUGUACGGAACGAAAAGCCUUUUCCUAAUACGGGGAGGUCAUGACGGUACCGUAAGAAUAAGCACCGGCUAACUACGUGCCAGCAGCCGCGGUAAUACGUAGGGUGCAAGCGUUAAUCGGAAUUACUGGGCGUAAAGCGUGCGCAGGCGGUGAUGUAAGACAGAUGUGAAAUCCCCGGGCUCAACCUGGGAACUGCAUUUGUGACUGCAUCGCUGGAGUGCGGCAGAGGGGGAUGGAAUUCCGCGUGUAGCAGUGAAAUGCGUAGAUAUGCGGAGGAACACCGAUGGCGAAGGCAAUCCCCUGGGCCUGCACUGACGCUCAUGCACGAAAGCGUGUGGAGCAAACAGGAUUAGAUACCCUGGUAGUCCACGCCCUAAACGACGUCAACUGGUUGUUGGGUCUUCACUGACUCAGUAACGAAGCUAACGCGUGAAGUUGGCCGCCUGGGGAGUACGGCCCGCAGGUUGAAACU
rnacentral:rRNA from 1 species